CUCAGGUCCGGGUAGCCCUUCUUCUCUGUGAAGGGGAGAUAACCUCAUGUUUAAGCUGGAGCAGAGACCUCGAAACUCUCCAUUCUCUAACUGGGAGUCCUAAAGUGAUGAAGGUCAGCUCAGGACAAAGGAUCCCAAACCAGUAAGACAAGUAAAGAAAGCAAAGCCGCUGUGCCCAUCUGUGCCACUGCCCCACUCACCUAUGUCC
rnacentral:lncRNA from 1 species